CCUACGGGUGGCAGCAGUGGGGAAUAUUGCACAAUGGGGGAAACCCUGAUGCAGCGACGCCGCGUGAGUGAAGAAGUAAUUCGUUACGUAAAGCUCUAUCAGCAGGGAAGAAAUACUGACCUUACGGUCAGCAGACGGUACCUGAGUAAGCAGCCCCGGCUAACUACGUGCCUGCAGCCGCGGUAAUACGUAGGGGGCAAGCGUUAUCCGGAUUUACUGGGUGUAAAGGGAGCGUAGACGGUGCGCCAAGUCUGGAGUGAAAUGCCGCAGCUUAACUGCUGAACUGCUUUGGAAACUGGCGAACUAGAGUGCGGGAGGGGUAAGCGGAAUGCCUAGUGUAGCGGUGAAAUGCGUAGAUAUUAGGAGGAACACCGGUGGCGAAGGCGGCUUACUGGACCGUAACUGACGUUGAGGCUCGAAAGCGUGGGGAGCAAACAGGAUUAGAUACCCGGGUAGUC
rnacentral:rRNA from 1 species